GGGGUUAUGACUCAGUGGUAGAGAGCGCUCCUCUAGCACAUGUGAGGCACUGGGUUCAAACCUCAGCACCCCA
rnacentral:tRNA from 1 species